rnacentral:rRNA from 1 species
GUGGGGAAUUUUGGACAAUGGGCGCAAGCCUGAUCCAGCAAUGCCGCGUGCAGGAAGAAGGCCUUCGGGUUGUAAACUGCUUUUGUACGGAACGAAAAGGCUCUGGUUAAUACCUGGGGCUCAUGACGGUAGCGUAAGAAUAAGCACCGGCUAACUACGUGCCAGCAGCCGCGGUAAUACGUAGGGUGCAAGCGUUAAUCGGAAUUACUGGGCGUAAAGCGUGCGCAGGCGGUUUUGUAAGACAGACGUGAAAUCCCCGGGCUCAACCUGGGAAUGGCGCUUGUGACUGCAAAGCUGGAGUGCGGCAGAGGGGGAUGGAAUUCCGCGUGUAGCAGUGAAAUGCGUAGAUAUGCGGAGGAACACCGAUGGCGAAGGCAAUCCCCUGGGCCUGCACUGACGCUCAUGCACGAAAGCGUGGGGAGCAAACAGGAUUAGAUACCCCAGUAGUCC